ensembl:rRNA 5S_rRNA 5S ribosomal RNA
AUCAACAGCCAAACUGCCUUCAACAGGCUAAUUUUGUCUAAUGUCAGAAGCUAAGCAGGGUUGGGAUUCAUUAGUACUUGGAUAGGAAACUGCCUGGGAAUAAUACUGGGUGCUGUAAGCU